AUUGAACGCUGGCGGCAUGCCUUACACAUGCAAGUCGAACGGCAGCACGGGAGCAAUCCUGGUGGCGAGUGGCGAACGGGUGAGUAAUAUAUCGGAACGUGCCCAGUCGUGGGGGAUAACGCAGCGAAAGCUGUGCUAAUACCGCAUACGAUCUAUGGAUGAAAGCGGGGGACCGCAAGGCCUCGCGCGAUUGGAGCGGCCGAUAUCAGAUUAGCUAGUUGGUGGGGUAAAGGCCCACCAAGGCGACGAUCUGUAGCUGGUCUGAGAGGACGACCAGCCACACUGGAACUGAGACACGGUCCAGACUCCUACGGGAGGCAGCAGUGGGGAAUUUUGGACAAUGAGCGCAAGCCUGAUCCAGCAAUGCCGCGUGCAGGAUGAAGGCCUUCGGGUUGUAAACUGCUUUUGUACGGAACGAAACGGUGAGCUUUAAUACAGUUUGCUAAUGACGGUACCGUAAGAAUAAGCACCGGCUAACUACGUGCCAGCAGCCGCAGUAA
rnacentral:rRNA from 1 species